rnacentral:rRNA from 1 species
CGCAUGAGCGUGGGAGCUAACCCGGGGAACUGAAACAUCUUAGUACCCGGAGGAAUAGAAAAUAAACAAUGAUUCCCCCAGUAGUGGCGAGCGACCGGGGAACAGCCCAAACCGGUGACGUGGCAACGCGCCACCGGGGUUGUAGGACCGCGCCAUUGUACUCAGCGUGUGAACAGAACCUUCUGGAAAGAAGGACCAUAGAGGGUGAUAGUCCCGUAUGUGAAGCGCAAUGAGACAUAGCGGUAUCCUGAGUAACGCGGAACACGAGUAAUUCUGCGCGAAUCCGCCGGGCCCAUCCGGCAAGGCUAAAUACUCCUGUGAGACCGAUAGUGAACGAGUACCGUGAGGGAAAGGUGAAAAGCACUUCGAGGAGAAGAGUGAAAUAGUUCCUGAACCCAUCCGCCUACAAGCGGUCGGAGCCAUGUAAGUGGUGACGGCGUGCCUUUUGCAUAAUGAACCUACGAGUUACCUUCUCCGGCGAGGUUAAGGGCCUGAGAGUCCCCGAGCCGCAGUGAAAGCGAGCCUGAAUAGGGCGUUUGUCCUUUUGGACAUCUAGUCGGAGGUGGUAGACGCGAAACCAAGUGAUCUACACUUGACCAGGUUGAAGUUCCGGUAACACGGAAUGGAGGACCGCACGGAUAAGCGUUGAAAAGCUUCCCGAUGAGUUGAGUGUAGGAGUGAAAGGCCAAUCAAACUUGGAGAUAGCUCGUACUCCCCGAAAGGCAUUUAGGUGCCGCGUGCAUAUAUUCCCCUGAGAGGUAGAGCGACCGAUAGGACGCGAGGGCUUCACCGCCUAUCAAGUCCUGCCGAACUCCGAAUGCUCAUGGUUUGCAUAUGCGCAGUAAGGGGGCGGGUGCUAAGGUCCGUCCCCGAGAGGAGAAGAAUCCGGACCGCCGUCUAAGGUCCCCGAGUUCUGCCUGAGUUAGUCUAACGAAGUCCGGUCCCUUUGACAGCCAGGAUGUUGGCUUGGAAGCAGCCAUUCAUUCAAAGAGUGCGUAACAGCUCACUGGUCGAGGGUCCGGGC